ACCAACAGCGAAAACUAGAGAAAAAAAAAUAUUGCCAAUUGCUGUUUACGAUUCUCGCCUAGUAUACAUAAACAUUGACGUAGGCUUUGUUGACCUUUUCACUUUUGAAUAACAAGUUCUGGAAUAUUCUGCGUGUUUGUUCGUCACCUUUCUAUGUACCUCAUUGCAACAAGACGUCAGAAACAGAAAAUGUAAACAAUUUCUUUUUUCGGUAGUGGAAUUAGUGCUCUGUAAGUUUAAGUGAUGAUUUUUAUUUUUAAGUUUGGUUUAAAUAAUGUAUUUUAUAAAAAAAAUUGUGCCUAAAGUUGCCAGAAUGAUACACGGGAGCUGAUCGUUGCUGUGGCUGGAAGAUAUGCUAAGGCUGACCGGAUAUGUGACCUGUUGGGUCAGCGAUGACAAGUGAUAAGUGACCUGUUGGAUCAGCGAUGAAAACAAUCGGUUGGAAGUAGAUCUGGGACCAUCCGAGAGCCACCACGAAAGCUAGCCUGUCUGCAUUCGGUUUCGGCCGCCAAUAAGCGACCGACGAUGACGAUGAUGAGCGUAACCGCUUCGAUCCUGCAGCAGCAGAAAUUUAAGCAACAUCACAAUCAAGCUACUCACCACCAAACAAAGAACGAGAUCUGAAACCACCAGCUACAACAGCACCAGGAACCAACGAUUAACAUAGAUCAGAGGAACGCAGCCAAUUUAUCGGCGGCCGGAGUUGGUGACAACGGGUUCAACUACAUGCAGUAGCAGGAAGUGCCAUCGACGCUAAGUGGCGGCAGUAAUUCGACUCCUUCUAAACCGUUGUUGACCAUGAAAAUUACUUCUUCUCCUGCUGUUUCAUCUGGAUCGUCGUAUCUGUUAGUGUUUCAGCUCAGCUCAGCCCCUGCCGUCCGCAGCAGCAGCAAUAACACCAGCAAUUCGACGACAUCGCUCAUUUCCAGUCCAGUGCCAGGUGUGUGUUCAUGUAAUAUCGGAGGCUAAGUGUAAUUCCCGGUUUUAGAUCGAGCCCAAUCGUUGAUCAACUUUUCCCAGUUUAGACCAGUUUUUAGUUGCUUUUAUAAAAAAUCUCUUUCUAAAAUCAUUUUCCAAAUAAUCAUUUUUUAUAAACUAAUGAACGUUGUACAUAAUGAUCCAAUCUAAAUUCAUCCAUUUUUUUUAGUAAUCAAGCGUGAUCUCAGAACUACUGAUAUAUUUCGAAAAAAGGUAGAAGUUUGGUCUAUCAUUAAUAAGAAAAGUUUUGAAAACGGAAUAUGAUGUUUAAUUUUAUGAAUCUGCGUAUAUUAGCUAUAAUAAUGUUCAAUUAUUGAUCAAAUUGUCGUAAAAAUUGUUGUUAUGAUGAUGUUUCACCAGAUAUUUAAAGUUGUCAUGAAAUUUAAUAUAAUAAAAACACACUUGAAAAAU